GGGCCCGCACAAGCAGCGGAGCGUGUGGUUUAAUUCGAGGCUACACGAAAAACCUUACCUGGGUUUGACAUCCCACGAAUGAACCUGAAAAGGGGAAGUCCCUACGGGGCGUGGAGACAGGUGCUGCAUGGCUGUCGUCAGCUCGUGUCGUGAGAUGUUCGGUUAAGUCCGAAAACGAGCGCAACCCUCGGUGCUAGUUACAGGUGUCUAGCACAACUGCCAGCGGCAAGCUGGAGGAAGGUGGGGAUGAUGUCAAGUCAGCAUGGCCUUUAUAUCCAGGGCUACACACACGCUACAAUGGCGCGUACAAUGGGUCGCGAAGCCGCGAGGCGGAGCCAAUCCUGCAAAGCGCGUCGUAGUUCGGAUUGUAGGCUGCAACUCGCCUGCAUGAAGCCGGAGUUGCUAGUAACCGCAGGUCAGCAUACUGCGGUGAAUACGUUCCCGGGCCUU
rnacentral:rRNA from 1 species